GCUGCAGACAGUACACCAGGGUCCGUGGGGAUUUUUAGCGGGCUGCUCCGUCAGUGCCAUCGGCUUUCUGCUGGAGCCCAACGGGAGAUGAUGACUUCUUGGUGGCGAUUCUAGGUAGGCUAGCUAAUCGCUGUCUUCUUUCUGAGAGAAAAAUGACCAAUAGGUCAUGGUGUUCUUAUAUAAUCUUAUUGAAUGAACUCUAUCGAUAGGUUCACUUCACGAUUUCUGCCUCCGUCGAUAGAGCUCAAAGUAUUCUUUCUGUAACCGUACAAAGGAUAUCAGCAUAGUUCAUCGAUAAUGGUAUAUUUUAUUAUAUGAGCAAAUGAAUGCAAAUUCUGUCAGUGUU
rnacentral:sRNA from 2 species